GGGGGUGAACGGUCUCGACUUUAGUUGUUGGGGCAGGGGAAGCGGGCCGAGGAAGCCGGGAUGAUCUCGUAAACCAUGAAACCUGUGCAAAAAUAACUGCAGACAACAGUCGCAGUGAUUUCGCUCUAGCUGCAUAAGCUAGUACCGAAUCCGUCAGCCCGGGCGCGCUCUCGUCCCGGAACCUGGCGUCGCUAGAGAGCUCUUCAUCGAGAUAGCGUUGCGAAUAUCUCGAGAGAACAGUUUCGCAAAUGAGUUCGUUGAAUACUUGUGUGUAAGAGAUUCAGGACUGAGAAAACGUUAAACGCACUACGCCCGUAGAAGCCCUGUUUUAAUUCUGAAGGACCCGGGUUCGAUUCCCGGCACCUCCACCA
rnacentral:tmRNA from 1 species